GCAGUCUUAAGUCCUGCUUUUGUCGGAAGUGUAGUCCGGUUUACGAGACGAUCGAGACGUGACAAGAUGACGGAAAGACACUGCGGUUGUUGGAUGUGUGUCACGGCAGUAGAAGACAGACGCUGCACAAGUGUCCUGGUCGACACCAGUAAGUAUAUUAUUACUUUCCAGUCAUACA